rnacentral:lncRNA from 1 species
UUUUAAAGAGAUGACAUGACAUAGUAUAGAAGAGCUAAGGUAAAUUCAAAAUUUCAAAACCAAGGGAGGCCACAAAUUCAAAACCAAGGGAGCCGCCCAUAGGCUCGACACAGCACGGGAAGAUUACAAGAAACACUUCCAAAUAUUACAAUAGAGAAACCAGUUCACAGUUCAACCCAUAUGGUUGGUGACAAAGUCCAAAAUUACUCAAAUACCUUCAAAUGAGUCAUUGGUUGUGUUAGCUGUAAAGCCC